ACAUGCUUNGUUUAUUAAAGAAUUAGAGUUUGUCAUAUUCUGGGAGAUUGUUCUGUGAUCAGUAUGUUUUGGGACAGUAUG
rnacentral:tRNA from 1 species